rnacentral:lncRNA from 1 species
CUGGCUUUGAAUUAAGGGGGAGGUGAGCAAGACACGUCUUGAUAAGCGACAAUAAAAGUAAUUAUAUAUAAAAAUCUUAGUUUGGUGUAUAAAUGGAGCAUGGUUAGCUGGAAUCCGUGGUGUUGGAAAGCAAGUGAUUUUGACUGAUGGGCGGCUAGGUGGCACGACAUGUACCCCAUGUUGUGUUUCCAAUGUCACUAACCAUGAGCCCAGCGAAUUGUCUCACCAUGGACCC